AACGAACGCUGGCGGCAGGCUUAACACAUGCAAGUCGAGCGCCCCGCAAGGGGAGCCGCAGACGGGUGAGUAACGCGUGGGAAUCUACCCAUCUCUACGGAAUAACGCAUGGAAACGUGUGCUAAUACCGUAUACGUCCUUCGGGAGAAAGAUUUAUCGGAGAUGGAUGGGCCCGCGUUGGAUUAGCUAGUUGGUGGGGUAAAGGCCUACCAAGGCGACGAUCCAUAGCUGGUCCGAGAGGAUGAUCAGCCACACUGGGACUGAGACACGGCCCAGACUCCUACGGGAGGCAGCAGUGGGGAAUAUUGGACAAUGGGCGCAAGCCUGAUCCAGCCAUGCCGCGUGAGUGAUGAAGGCCCUAGGGUUGUAAAGCUCUUUCACCGGUGAAGAUAAUGACGGUAACCGGAGAAGAAGCCCCGGCUAACUUCGUGCCAGCAGCCGCGGUAAGAC
rnacentral:rRNA from 1 species